rnacentral:rRNA from 1 species
GAUGAACGCUAGCGGCAGGCUUAAUACAUGCAAGUCGAGGGACAGCACAGGUAGCAAUACUGGGUGGUAACCGGCAAACGGGUGCGGAACACGUACACAACCUUCCUUUAAGUGGGGGAUAGCCCAGAGAAAUUUGGAUUAAUACCCCGUAAUAUAGUUGAAUGGCAUCAUUUGAUUAUUAUAGCUACGGCGCUUAAUAAUGGGUGUGCGGCUGAUUAGAUAGUUGGCGGGGUAACGGCCCACCAAGUCUACGAUCAGUAGCUGAUGUGAGAGCAUGAUAAGCCACACGGGCACUGAGACACGGGCCCGACUCCUACGGGAGGCAGCAGUAAGGAAUAUUGGUCAAUGGACGCAAGUCUGAACCAGCCAUGCCGCGUGAAGGAUUAAGGUCCUCUGGAUUGUAAACUUCUUUUAUUUGGGACGAAAAAGGGCCUUUCUAGGUCAACUGACGGUACCAGAUGAAUAAGCACCGGCUAACUCCGUGCCAGCCGCCGCCGUAAGAC